CUGGAGUUGAAGUGCACGGAUGACUUGGAACUCAUGGCGCUGCUUAUACAGCACUGGAAGAAGUGUUGGAGAAGGCCUUCAAGCAGAGUUUGACUUAAUGGGCACUAAGAAACAUGAUCACAAGGGGCCAUUCCGUGCUCAGGGGGCAGACAAGAUGGCACUCCUGAUAAGGAAUCACCUACACCAGCCAUCCUGAGGACCUAUAGCUCAAACCUCAAAUAUGUGAGGAGGAGGAGGAAGAGGAGUGUUGGAGGAAAGCAAUCUCUCAGAGCUCUGACAAUUCCAGUCACAGCCUCUUAGUUCA
ensembl:lncRNA